AUAUUUAGCUGGCAGAGACGACACCAUGAUCACAAAGGUGGUUUCCCCAGGACAAGGCUUAUCCAUUGCACUCCAGAUAUGCUCACCUGUGUGAUUCCCCAAAUGUGGGAAGCAUGUUCACACUUAC
rnacentral:snRNA from 1 species